UCGUCUUUUGAACUAUUUUCAUAAAAGAUAAUGCCUGCCCAGUGAAAAAUUUUAAACGGCCGCGUUAGCGUGAGCGUGCUAAGGUAGCGUAAUAAUUAGCCUUUUAAUUGAAGGCCAGUGAAUGGCAAGACUAGGAAUAUCUGUACUUUGUGUAUAAAAAAAACUUUUCAUCUAAGUGAAAAGACUUAGAUAAUAAAGGAAGACGAAAAGACCCCGCGGAACUUUACCUUUUUUUUACUUCGGUUUACACACUUAAAAGUAUACAAGGUUUGAUUGGGGCAAUCUUGGAACCAUUAAAGCUUCCAAUUUUUUUAAAAAAGGAUUUAAAAUUUAUUAAGGACAAAAAAGUAGUUACCCCGGGGAUAACAGCGUAAUCCAACUUAAGAGUACUUAUCGAAAGUUGGGUUUGCGACCUCGAUGUUGGCUUAAGGAUAUCCACAUUAGUGCAACCGCUAUGACAGGAUAGUCUGUUCGACUAUUAUACCCUU
rnacentral:rRNA from 1 species